CCUUCGAUAAGCUCAGUUGGUAGAGCCGGAGGACUGUAGGUACUUAAACUAGUCAUCCUCAGGUCGCUGGUUCGAUUCCGCCGGUCGAAGGA